CACGAAGUUAGCCGGGGCUUCUUCUCCGGGUACCGUCAUUAUCGUCCCCGGUGAAAGAAUUUUACAAUCCUAAGACCUUCAUCAUUCGCGCGGCAUGGCUGCGUCAGGCUUUCGCCCAUUGCGCAAGAUUCCCCACUGCUGCCUCCCGUAGGAGUUUGGGCCGUGUCUCAGUCCCAAUGUGGCUGAUCAUCCUCUCAGACCAGCUACUGAUCGUCGCCUUGGUGAGCCUUUACCUCACCAACUAGCUAAUCAGACGCGGGCCGCUCUAAUGGCGAUAAAUCUUUCCCCCGAAGGGCACAUUCGGUAUUAGCACAAGUUUCCCUGAGUUAUUCCGAACCAAAGGCACGUUCCCACGUGUUACUCACCCGUCGCCACUAACUCCGAAGAGUUCGUUCGACUUGCAUGUGUUAGGCCUGCCGCCAGCGUUCGCUCUGAGCCAGGAUCAAACUCU
rnacentral:rRNA from 1 species